GAUGAACGCUGGCGGCGUGCCUAAUACAUGCAAGUCGAGCGAACAGACGAGGAGCUUACUCCUCUGACGUUAGCGGCGGACGGGUGAGUAACACGUGGAUAACCUACCUAUAAGACUGGGAUAACUUCGGGAAACCGGAGCUAAUACCGGAUAACAUGUUGAACCGCAUGGUUCAACAGUGAAAGACGGUCUUGCUGUCACUUAUAGAUGGAUCCGCGUCGCAUUAGCUAGUUGGUAAGGUAACGGCUUACCAAGGCAACGAUGCGUAGCCGACCUGAGAGGGUGAUCGGCCACACUGGAACUGAGACACGGUCCAGACUCCUACGGGAGGCAGCAGUAGGGAAUCUUCCGCAAUGGGCGUAAGCCUGACGGAGCAACGCCGCGUGAGUGAAGAAGGUCUUCGGAUCGUAAAACUCUGUUAUUAGGGAAGAACAAAUGUGUAAGUAACUAUGCACGUCUUGACGGUACCUAAUCAGAAAGCCACGGCUAACUACGUGCCAGCAGCCGCGGUAAUACGUAGGUGGCAAGCGUUAUCCGGAAUUAUUGGGCGUAAAGCGCGCGUAGGCGGUUUUUUAAGUCUGAUGUGAAAGCCCACGGCUCAACCGUGGAGGGUCAUUGGAAACUGGAAAACUUGAGUGCAGAAGAGGAAAGUGGAAUUCCAUGUGUAGCGGUGAAAUGCGCAGAGAUAUGGAGGAACACCAGUGGCGAAGGCGACUUUCUGGUCUGUAACUGACGCUGAUGUGCGAAAGCGUGGGGAUCAAACAGGAUUAGAUACCCUGGUAGUCCACGCCGUAAACGAUGAGUGCUAAGUGUUAGGGGGUUUCCGCCCCUUAGUGCUGCAGCUAACGCAUUAAGCACUCCGCCUGGGGAGUACGACCGCAAGGUUGAAACUCAAAGGAAUUGACGGGGACCCGCACAAGCGGUGGAGCAUGUGGUUUAAUUCGAAGCAACGCGAAGAACCUUACCAAAUCUUGACAUCCUCUGACCCCUCUAGAGAUAGAGUUUUCCCCUUCGGGGGACAGAGUGACAGGUGGUGCAUGGUUGUCGUCAGCUCGUGUCGUGAGAUGUUGGGUUAAGUCCCGCAACGAGCGCAACCCUUAAGCUUAGUUGCCAUCAUUAAGUUGGGCACUCUAAGUUGACUGCCGGUGACAAACCGGAGGAAGGUGGGGAUGACGUCAAAUCAUCAUGCCCCUUAUGAUUUGGGCUACACACGUGCUACAAUGGACAAUACAAAGGGUAGCGAAACCGCGAGGUCAAGCAAAUCCCAUAAAGUUGUUCUCAGUUCGGAUUGUAGUCUGCAACUCGACUACAUGAAGCUGGAAUCGCUAGUAAUCGUAGAUCAGCAUGCUACGGUGAAUACGUUCCCGGGUCU
rnacentral:rRNA from 1 species